rnacentral:rRNA from 1 species
AACGAACGCUGGCGGCAUGCCUAACACAUGCAAGUCGAACGAAGGCUUCGGCCUUAGUGGCGCACGGGUGCGUAGCGCGUGGGAAUCUGCCCUUGGGUUCGGAAUAACUCAGAGAAAUUUGAGCUAAUACCGGAUGAUGACGUAAGUCCAAAGAUUUAUCGCCCAAGGAGGAGCCCGCGUAAGAUUAGCUAGUUGGUGGGGUAAAGGCCUACCAAGGCGACGAUCUUUAGCUGGUCUGAGAGGAUGAUCAGCCACACUGGGACUGAGACACGGCCCAGACUCCUACGGGAGGCAGCAGUGGGGAAUAUUGGACAAUGGGCGAAAGCCUGAUCCAGCAAUGCCGCGUGAGUGAUGAAGGCCUUAGGGUUGUAAAGCUCUUUUACCAGGGAUGAUAAUGACAGUACCUGGAGAAUAAGCUCCGGCUAACUCCGUG